GGAUACCUCAGUCUGUAGAGCAUGGGACUCUUAAUCUCAAGGCUGUGGGUUCAAGCCCCAUGUUGGGCA